ensembl:lincRNA Gm14174 predicted gene 14174
AAACCUGCAGCUCAUCUCUGGCUGACACCAGCAGGAUGCUCCUGGGUACCGGGUUCUGCAGCAUAGAAGAACGCGAGAAAGGAGAUGGAUGAAGGGCUGGAUGGGGAAUCCGACAAGGCAAGCUCUGCCCAAGGAGGCCCAGGGACCAUCACUUGCCCAGG